GUUCACUCCAGCAGAAGAGCUCCGAUUCAGCAGAACCCAGCUGUGGUUCCAUGAAGAGUGACUGGUCUAUGGAUCAUCCACUUGUAUUCAAGGGUGAAGACACACGGCCGAAUCUCAGGCGAAUCCUGCAAUCCAGAUCAGAUGAAAUAGAACCCAUCUGUAAAAAAAUGAAAUAUGAUGAGUCUAUGAAUCAACAACUAGACUUUAAUGAAAGCAUGGGUCCUGAUGACAGACUCCUGUAAU